UACGAAGGGGGCUAGCGUUGUUCGGAAUUACUGGGCGUAAAGCGCACGUAGGCGGAUAUUUAAGUCAGGGGUGAAAUCCCGGGGCUCAACCCCGGAACUGCCUUUGAUACUGGGUAUCUCGAGUCCGAGAGAGGUGAGUGGAAUUCCGAGUGUAGAGGUGAAAUUCGUAGAUAUUCGCAAGAACACCAGUGGCGAAGGCGGCUCACUGGUCCGGUACUGACGCUGAGGAGCGAAAGCGUGGGUAGCAAACAGG
rnacentral:rRNA from 1 species